UUCAUUAAAAUGUACAUGCGGUUUCAGUUUGAUGCGCACCCAGUAAAGCUACUAAAAUUAAAGGCAUUAUAACUAAGCACCAUUUAGGGAUAGAAUUUUUAUUUUAUUUUUGUACCGACGCAAAUGCAAUUUUCCAAUUAGAGCAUAUAAGCUCGAUCAACCAUUUUUUUCGUGUGUUAUUUAGAUACUUCACUACAUACAGCUGUAAAAGAUCGAUGGUUUCUCAGACGGAUAUCUAGCAGAAUCAGCAAACGGCCGGAUCCUCGAUCGUGUCGUCACUGUCCAUGGAGCAAGGACCGCACGAUCUCAAAGACAAAGGACAAGGCCAACACGAGGAGCGUCGGAAACGCCAUGACCAAUGACCACACCGCCACU
rnacentral:lncRNA from 1 species